rnacentral:rRNA from 1 species
CAGUCGCCGCGGGAAUACAGAGGGUGCAAGCGUUAAUCGGAAUUACUGGGCGUAAAGCGCGCGUAGGUGGUUUGUUAAGUUGGAUGUGAAAUCCCCGGGCUCAACCUGGGAACUGCAUCCAAAACUGGCAAGCUAGAGUAUGGUAGAGGGUGGUGGAAUUUCCUGUGUAGCGGUGAAAUGCGUAGAUAUAGGAAGGAACACCAGUGGCGAAGGCGACCACCUGGACUGAUACUGACACUGAGGUGCGAAAGCGUGGGGAGCAAACAGGAUUAGAUACCCCCGUAGUCCCUGUCUCUUAUAA